ACCACCACCCACUCCUCCGCCUCUUCUCCACCCGAACCCGAACCCGAAACCCAAGCCCAAUUCCCUCUCUUUAACCCGACGCUCCCUCCUCCUCUCCUCCACCUCACUCAUCCUCCCUUCCUCCGCCGCCUCCGCCUCCGUGCCGCCGCCGGACACCACCGUCACCGACCGCGUAUUCAUGGACUUCAACCUCUGCCCCACCUACUUCCGCUGGUCCUCCGAGCAACCCGUCCUCUGCCCCGACCCGGUUUAUCUGGGCCGGGUCGUCCUCGGCCUCUACGGCCACCUCGUCCCCGUCACCGUCGCCAACUUCAAGGCCAUGGUCACCUCCGCCGCCUACAAGGGCACAACCGUCCAUAAACUCUUCCCCGGUCAAUUCUUCCUCGCCGGCCACCAGGGCGAUAAACCCGGCGACGUGCGGCGGCCUAUUGGCCUCAUCGCCCGGAACACCGAGACUGUUGAGUCCAAGGCGUUUGAGUUGACUCACUCCAGACCGGGGCUCCUCUCGCUUAGCUUAUCGGAAAAUGACGACGAUGAUGACAUCAAGCUUGACCCGGAUUACCGGAAUGUUGAGUUCUCCAUCACUACUGGCCCCGGCCCAUGUCCUCAGCUCGAUCACAAGAACAUUGUUUUCGGCUCAGUACUUGAAGGUAAUUUGUUACAUUAAUGAAUGGAUGCAAGUUAUAAUCCUCAAUUUUAGUAACUGAUUUAGGAUAUGUUAAUGUAUCGGUAAUGUUUGACUAACUUGAAUUAUAUGUUCUUGAUUUUUGGGUGUGUGAAGGUAUGGAUGUUGUGACGGCUAUAGCAGCUAUACCAACGUACAGACCGUCGGAGAGAAUACAGCAGUUCAACGAUUUUGCAACGUUUCUCGGAGACGAUAGAGCAAUGCAGGCACGGGCGCUGUGGAAUAAGCCGCUCAAGACUGUGUAUAUCAGUGACUGUGGUGAGCUCAAAGUUACAAAGCCUUCCUUUUCUCCUCCUAGUCUUCCUUGACAAUUUAGUAAGUUAUGUACAUUCAACAUUGCAUAUAAUGUAAAUGUUUGAAAUUGUUGCUAUUGCUCCCUGUAUCACACUGAUCACUGUGUUUCAUGAGAGGAUUCUUGAAUAUUGGAGACUGUAAAUCUUGUAUCGGAAAUGAAAAUUUUGUUUUAUACACAGUUCAAGUUGUUUGACAUGCUUCAUACAUCUUAUGCUUUUGAGCAAGUACUGGCACUGUUAACUUUUCGAGCAGAAAUCUAACUCAGUCUAAUCCUCUCGAACAUACAGAACAUUACAUGUAUUACCAAGUUCAUAAUCUGUGUCACAAUGUUAGAUAGACUGAUAGGAAAAACUUUCAGAAAUUUGUGCAUGCUUUAGAAUGUAAACUGAUCGUUGUCAAAACUCGUUGUCUUUCGUUAUGAUCUUUCUUCUGUUAAAAAAUUUCUAGUUUGAUCGAGGUUCUCCUCAAUAUGAGAUAGGUUGCUGCUAUAGUCAGAAUUCCAACAGGGUUGCACUUUCAGAUAUAGCAUUUUGGCUGUCUGCAUUAUCCUUCGUCACUGAUCUGCCGAUUAAUGCAUACAUCCUACACCCUGCACCUAUUCUAUUCACAUUGACACAAUCUAUGCACAAUCUACCGGACCCAACCACAAUAUCAGUACCAGAUUCACUGAUUCAGCUACUGAAUGUGAUAUGAUCAUAGGGAGCAUCUGAACAGUCCUAAGCUUUUGUAUGCCCCAGAAGAUUGCUUGAAGCGUGUAAGGUGCGCGGCUGGUUUAUGUGCGCGCAGCUGGUUUAUGUGCCAUAUAGCCAUGUUUGGGACCAAUGUAUCAUGAUUGAGCCGAAGGGUGUGCUGCCUUUACCGGACCGGCAAACUGACCAUGUCAUAACACGGUAACAGUUUGCUACUUUGCUCCAAGGGUGGCUUUGUGCCUCAAGCUUUUAGUUUUAAUUAUUUCUGUAAAUAAUAUGCACUGCUUCCUCUCCUGAUAAGAUCCCACGUUCAUAUCUUUGGGCCUUCCUGUCAUGGGCUCGUAUCAAAACCAAGCCGCUGUGGGCUUUAACUCAGAUCCUCUCUUCCAUCUUUGGGUCUCUUUGAAGCGGAGCCCAACCUUUGUAGAAUUGUAGAGAGUAGACCCCAAAUGACGGAUACGUGGUUUAGCAGAGACCCUGGGGUGGUGGGACCCACAACCUUUGCAGGCGCGCGUGAAAGGUCAGCCGCCAGCCGCGCCUCUGUGAGACCAAUGUUACGACUGACUGCAGAGGAACAGCGGUGGUGGGGGCCCUAGCUGCUUUUCUCACAGCUGUACGAACAGGAUUCUCUGACAUGUUGAGGCGUGGUUUUCCAAGUGGUCCAUGAAACUAGGGGCCGGCACGUGUCUCCGGUACGGUGUCGACGUCGCUGUGGAGUGUAGGGCCGCGACUGACGAGAAAGAACACAGGAAAACCAGAUAGGACCUGGAAAGUGGAAACCAUUCGUUGAUCGGAGAGUUUGGUGUUAACUGUAUUCGUCUUCGUCCCUGUGCUGUGAUCAGAGUACCAUCCAUAAAUACCUCUAACGACUUCAGAACCCUAUGUCAUUCAAAUCUAACGCCACCCAUCACUUCAAUAGUUGAUGUCGAAGAUUAACCUUGCUUAGCAAACCCCCCUAACCUAACUAACGAAACCCUGAAGUGCUGCUCUUCUGUCCUUCCAGAUUGGCACGUACAGUGUAGAUUUGUUAUGAUUGUAGAUGGGGGAUGGCACUUUGUCUGGUUCUAUAAAGCCCUCUGUUGCUUCAGCGUAUCACAAGGGUUAAAGCACAAAAGUUGUUCCUCCUUUCUUUUUCUUUCACUUUUCUUCUCCAGCACUUCUCUUUAUCUCUUCCAACGAUUUUAAAAUUGCUUCCCAAUGUCUACUACUGUCACAGCUUCCUGCAUAUACCAAAGGGUGAAAUGUCGUCUCUCUGAAUCAUAAUAGAAACUUCCUGCAACAAUACAAACAUCUAUAUCGUGUUGUCCGAUACCAUUCAUAUUGAGACACAUUUGGUUCCACUGUGCACGUCUUGCCCUUUCUAGCUUGCCAGUAGCCACCACUUGCACAGCUCCUGCAUUAUCCUCAUCAUCCAUCCCAUCUUCUUUUUUACAAUCUAAAAGCGACAUGCAUCUAAUGAGGAAAACAUGUAAAAACUCCAACUCUUGGGGCAAUUAGUUCCCCUCACGGGUUCUCUAAUUAACCUCCAUGUUUGAGACAUUAGACAUCUUAAAUAUAGAGUCGUCGAGUCUAUAUAAAAGAAACUCAACGUACAUGUGGUUUAUUAUAAAUAAGCUUCGUAAUGCAAGUAAAAUAUAAAAUGAGAAUCGUACAAUGUCUUAUAAACGAGUUAUGAAACUCAAAUGAGCAUCGUUCACGUGUAAAUAAUUAUUUUAGAUGCUUUAAUGACAAUAAAUCAUUCACACUAGUUACAUUUCUCCGUCAUUUUCUUAAGACGUACAUAUGGCUCAAUCGGUAAAUAAGUAGUAUGAUAGUGUUAAUUUGGCUUCGUAAGGCAAGUAAAAUGUAAAAUACAUUUAGGAGAGUCGCACAAUGUCUUAUAAACGAUUUAAAAAAAAACACAAAUAAGAAUCGAUCACAUGUGAAUAGUCUUUGUAGAUGUUGUAACGACAAUAAACCUUUUCAUGCGUAUGACAUUUCUCCGUCAUAUUCCAAACACCUACAUAUGGCUAUAUAUGGCUAUAUAGGUAGGUAAGAAACAUCGCAUUGAGAUAACAUAACCGAAAAAUCUAAUCAGACACAGAGGACAAUGGUGCCCCUGAGAAACUCACCCACCAGUCCACACUAUCAAGUAUGAACAAUGCCCCUAAGUCUACAACAGCAACAGUAGAAUCUAAAGAAACUCAUCAAUUAUCAAUCUUUGACUCUUUGUCUUAUUACCUAUGUCAUCUCCUCCACGUGUCGACCUAUCUCGACCGUCCGAUCCUUCUUCCUCCCUCCUCCUCGGUACCGGCGUCAGCCAGUCAUCAUCAUCAUCACUCUCUCAACUCAGAAACCAAAGUCUUCUCGUCUCCCUCCUCUCUCUCUCUCUCUCUCUCUCUCUCUCUCCCAAAAAAGAGCUUUGCGUUUUCCUCAAGAACUAGAAAAAGCGCUUCUCUUUUCAGCUGAAACACAAAACCCCUCAAAGUCUCAAACAUGGCUUUCCACCACCACCACCAAACCCCUCACGAAAUGGCCUUCCACGGCUCCUUCCCGGACACCCAACAACCCCCUCAGCUCGCCCCCACGUGGCUCAACGCGCCGCCGUUCCGCUCCUCGCCGUCCGGGAAAAGCGGCGAGGAGGACGGCGAGGAUGAGAUGGAGGGCGAGAGCGGGAGGUUCAAAGCCGACAUAGUGGGACACCCUCUGUACGAACAGUUGGUCUCCGCACACGUGUCGUGCCUGAGGAUCGCCACGCCGGUCGACCAGCUGCCGAAGAUCGACGAGCAGCUCGUGCAGUCGCAGCGCGUGGUGGACAAGUACUCGGCGAUGAGAGCCAACGGCGAGUUCGGAGUCCUGGAUGAGAAAGAACUUGACAUGUUCAUGGUUAGAGACUUAAACUUAGUUUCACUUCAAUCUAUGACAACGUCUUUGGUCGUACUAUUCUUCAAAUUUGUGACCCCUUUACAGUUUAGCCCUUCAAAUUGUUUGUAAUCUUAAUGUUGGACAAAUAUUUUGAGGUUUGAUGCUAAAGAUCAGUGCUUUGUUUGGUGUUUGUAGACAAACUAUGUUCUGUUGCUGUGUUCCUUCAAAGAACAACUGCAGCAACAUGUUCGAGUUCAUGCCAUGGAAGCAGUCAUGGCUUGUUGGGAGCUUGAGCAAUCUCUACAAAGCUUGACAGGUGAUUUUUCUCCAAGAAUUUACUUCGGUGAAAAAUGGGAGUAACUUUUUUUUUGUUCUUGUGCUUGGAAUUCAAAUCAUACAACUUUUUAUCACUGUUAUGGUUCUGUUUUUGAGUGCUAAGAUCAUAGACACCAACUACUGGUUAUGAGUCAUGACUUUUAUCUCAUAAAAAAAGAGAAGCAAGGCGUGCAAUUAGUUACAGUAACUUAAAGUCUCUUUUCAGUAGAUUAUUCUUGUUUGAAUAGUGCCUAUAGGUUUCCACUUCUUGUUUGAUCUUUAUACUAUUAUGCGUUCUACAGCAGAUUAGUGUUUAGAGUUUAUGAAUGACUUAGUUAGUAACGGUUUAAUUAUGAUGUGAAAACACAGGUGUGUCAACGGCUGAGGGCACAGGGGCUACAAUGUCUGAUGAUGAUGAACAAUUCGACGGUGACAUUAGCUCAUAUGAUGCAAGUUUAGAUGGACAUGACACCAUGGGAUUUGGUCCUCUCAUGCCAACUGAAAGUGAGAGGUCUCUGAUGGAGCGUGUAAGGCAAGAAUUGAAGCAUGAACUGAAACAGGUAUAGUUUGAUCCACACUACACAUUUGUGUACUGUUAAUGCAAGAUUCUAGGUGGUGUAUAACAUGUGGUGCAUAUUCUCAGGGCUACAAGGAAAAGAUUGUUGACAUUCGAGAGGAAAUUCUGCGUAAGAGAAGAGCAGGGAAACUUCCUGGUGACACCACUUCUGUGUUGAAAGCUUGGUGGCAAACACAUUCCAAAUGGCCUUACCCAACUGUGAGUUUACACUUCCAACCAUGUAUAAUAAUCAAUCCCCUUUUAUAGCUUAAUAAGAAAUUAACCCUCUUUUUCUUUUGCUACGAAUAGGAGGAAGACAAAGCGAGGCUGGUGCAGGAAACAGGGUUGCAAUUGAAGCAGAUCAAUAACUGGUUCAUCAAUCAAAGAAAAAGGAAUUGGCACAGCAACCUCUCCACAACUUCUGUUUUGAAGAGCAAGCGCAAGAGGUAGAAAAAUUGCACACUUUAAUUGUUGUUAUUGCUGUUCAGGUUUUUUUAUCUAGACCUUGUAUAUAAAUCUUUUCCCCAUUGUUAUGAAAAGUAAUGCAGGUGAUGGCAACAGUCAACGACUCAAGUAACCGACACUUUUAACUAAUGGAAAGAUGGAAUUCUAGCAUCAGAAAUGGGCUCAUAUUUAGUUUUAAGUUUAUUUCUAGUACAGUAAAACGUUAGACCAGUCUAUGGUGCUGCCGCCUCAUGCCCUCAAUCACUUCCGAGUCUGGCACCAUUCUAAUACCACCACCAUCUCAUCAAAUGUUUAAGUAUGUAACAGGAAGUUCAGGAACAAACUCAAAGGAGGCUGUCUUUGGGUCUAGAUAGAGUUUUUGACUUUUUGUAAGCUAAGAACCUCUACAUUUCAAUGUUUGCUUUCUGUGUUUGGUUUCUAUGGAUGAGAAUGGUUAUAAUAUAGUUUAUAGAUGUUUCAUAUAUUAGGGUUUUCUGUUUUCUUUAUCAACAUUUCACAGCCUUGUAUCCAAUACCGGCAUGCCCGUGAUUUGAACUGGAAAUUUUUCAUCCUAUAUUUACAACCGAGAGAAGACUACAUACUGUUCUGUAUCACAUACAGAACACAAUCAUUCAACAAUGAAGAAAAUAAAGAAUGACAACCGGCCUAAUUCUAAUCUAGCCUUCAGAGUCUACAGAAGCAUAUACAUCAACUAUUGAUGAUCAACCGGACCCUGCUGAGAAAUAACACUCGAAGGAGCUGCAAACCUUGCUGCAAAAUCAGCAACCGGAUUCUCCCCAUCUCUACCAUCACUGCCAUUAUCAAAAUUGAGAUUAUAGCUAUCCAUAUCAUACUGGAACCUAUUCUUCGGCUUCUGUUUCUUCCACAACCUCACUUUUUGCUUCCUACACCCCCUGCAAUAUGCACCAAUCUUCCUAACCAAAUUCUUCCACUUUGGCCCUCCAUAAACCACCGUAGACUCCCUAGCCUUGUUCAGCUCCUUCCUCCACCAUGUCACCUCCUUAGUGCUACUGUUACAUCCUCCCAACAGAAGCUUGCCUUCAUUCUCGCUGCUGCUUUGCUUCCAUGGAAACUUGAAAACCCCGAAACAGCCAUGACAACAAGCCGGGGCUUCUUCUUCGUAUGCAUCCAUCUCUACUUCUCCUUGAUCAUGGCCAUUACUCUCGCUCAAGAGGUUGAAGGGUGUCUCAUGAAGUAUGGUAACGUUUUCUUGGGAUGGAACUCAUGGAAGGACCUUAAAUGUACAUGGGGAAUUGUUUUCUUUGUUAAGUUGUUUAUACCUUGGUAGGAAACUUCCCAAACCUAUGCGGGUAAGGAAAGAUGUUAGAAACCAAACAAAAUGAGAAUUCCUGGUUCAGGUGCUACGCGGUGUCGUAUACGCUCUGGGAUUCCUGUUUUUGGUACGUAAAAUACCAUGAAGUUUGGUAUUAUCAGUUAAGCAGUUGCUUUUCUUAAGCACACGAAUUUUCAAGCACCAAGUUUUGUGUAGUUGUUUGACUAAAGAAACGAACCUUCUGCGUGUGAUAAAUGAAAAGAAAUUCCAUACAAAAACUAUGUUAGGGAGUUACUUCCAUAUGCGAAAAUUGAGUUCUGGUGUUGAACAAAGCGAUGAAACCAACAGAGAGCAUACAACCAAUCCAAUCCUCAUAUUCUUGUAUAUUUAUCUUGAAACGUGAUAGAAAACACUUGAUUCAAAGGUAAACCGUCAUAACCUAACAAAGUUGACUACUUAUAAGAUCUGUAAAGUUCUGUAAAACAAUGAAACAAAUCUUUCCUAUCACAUUAAAACAAAGACAUCCUCCAAUAGCCCGCAACAAGGGGGAUAGACAGCUGAGAUGAUCAGGCAAUGUCUGGCAUGGAUAUCACUUUUGAACCUGAGGCUGCGUCGAGGGCGGUUGCUGCUGUGCUUGGCCUUGUACUUUAGGAGGAAUCUUUGCAGCCAUAGCACGUAAUUGGUUUGCAAUCUCAGUGAAGUUCAGUCUCUCAGAUGGCUCUGCUGACCAGCAUCUCUCCAUCAAUGAUUUCCACUCUGGAUCACAAGACUCAGGGAUUGGUGGCCGCAAUGUAUUGCUCACAAUACCGCCUGCAAUUACAUGUGAAUAGCUCGCUUUCAAUAUCUCUCACUCCCAGUAAAUCAUAUAUAGGAAUCAAGGAUGUUUACAAAAAUAAAAAGUUAUUAAGCAGUAGAUCACCUAUGAUAGCCCCAUAGUGCAAGUCCCCGUAUGGUUCUUCUCCAGUGAGGAGCUCCCACAGUACGAUACCAAAAGAAAACACAUCAACCUAAUGUUCCCAAAGAGAAAAGAGGUCAAUAAGACCACCUAAGGGACAACCAUGUGUCAUAACAUAUUUCAACAGUUAAAAGUAAAAAUGACUAACACAAACCUUCUCAGAGACAAGGCUACUACUACCAUUCAAAAGUUCAGGUGCCAUCCAAGGAAGUGUUCCUCGCACGCCACCAGAGAUCAGUGUCUGACAUUUCACCUUUGAUAGGCCCAAAUCACCAACCUAAUAGAAGCAGACAUGUGAAUAUUAGUUUUCAGUUAAAUGUGAAUGCCGUCUCAUAAAUACACUAUUAGAUUAUGUUACUAGAUCACUGUUUGAAUGGCAUGUAGAAAUUUUUGCUGCAAAUAAAACCAAUUGGAAUGUGAGGAAGAGUGCUCCAGUCACUUGCCUUGCAAAUCGGGCGGUGUGGAUCUCGAAGAUUGACCAGUAAAUUGUCACUUUUCAAAUCAAAGUGCACUAUAUUCUUUCCAUGCAGGUACUCCAUUCCAAAUGCCACAUCCAUUGCAAUCAAUAGGCGUUUGCGCUUGUCCAGACUCCUGUGUUAUUUACCUUAGAGUCAGCUCCUUAUUAUAAUGGCAACUAAAUGCGGACUAUUGCAUCCAUUAAAAAUUAAUUCACACGAAACAAAGCCAUUACUUCUCAUUCUUCUGCAACGCAUUUCUAAGGGAACCAUUAACCAUAAACUCUGUCACGGUUGCCACAGAACCUCCUGGGCCAUCAAGUACAACACCAUAAAAAGCUACCACAUUUGGGUGGUGCAAGUCAGCCAGAUUGAUGGCCUCAUUCCAGAAAUCGUUUCUCUGAUAAAUUACAUAAACCAAAAUACAGAGCCCAGUAAGUGAUACAUUAAUGAAUAAAAUUAGUAAAUUAUGAAAACAUGUGACUGAGAAGACAAACCAUGCGCUCCUGUUCUGAAGGCUUCCCAGCAAAACACCUAUCGUUGAUUCGUUUGAUUGCAACAUCAGUGCCCCUCCACUUUCCAUGAUAGACUGUACCAAAUGUUCCAGAACCUAAUUCUCUGAGCUCUUCAAGGUCAUCAUUCUUAAUAAUCUACCAAAAACAGUAAGAAAUCACAUCCAUGGCACAAUUUAAUAACAGCAGAUCACAUUUAGGAAACAUAGAACACAAGUUUUAACCUGCAGCCGGCCGAUGCCAUCUGAUACUGGAAACCCCAAAUUUGGCUUCUCUGGACAUUUGGUCUUGACGUCCUGAAACAGAAAACAAAAAUUAGAAAGCUGGAGCUAGAGAAAGACUGGAAUUAAAUGUUAUGCAUGAGUAUGAAAUUCAGAAAUGCAAGUGAAAUAUUAAUGCACAUCCUCAAAAACAGAUGAAUUCCUAAAACUACCUCAACGCUAUGCUGCAUACUUGAAACGCUGAUUUGACCUUCAUCUUGGUUGGAAUCAUAUGCAGACUCAUUUUUGUCAUUAAAAACCGGAUUUGACAGUGAAGAUGACUUAAAAACUGAGGCAGCUACACCCUCAGCAACAGCUUGAAGGUCUUGCUUAAUCUGUUCCUCUGCUGAUCCUAUGACCAAAAGAAAUAAGACAAUUAUUAUGAUCUCCAAUCAACCAACUAAUAAAUGAAUAAAGAAAAAUAUAGAAAGACCUUUGCCUGACCUUUGGAAGACUGGGCAUGAUCUGGAUUAAGAUCCUUGUUCAAAUUACCCAGUGGCUGACCUCCAUCCUCCAAUUGCAUUUCUGUAUUUAGUUCUGCACCAUUGCCACCAAAGAGAUCUCUAUUUGUACAGGGUUCCUUUUUCAAUUGUAUUUUGGUAGGUAUAGGAGGCGGAAGAUGAGUGUCAUGGCGCAAAUUCCAAGGAUCCUGAUCGCUGAAUAGUGAGUUUGAAGAGUCUUGGACAUCAACUGUUAUCAUAGGUGGAGAGAAAGAAGAUGGCAUGUUACCAUUCAAGGUAACAACUUCAACAUCAGUAUGUACCAUGUUGGGAUGCAAUCUCAAGUUCUCGUUUCUCCUUUCAGCAGGAGGUUGAGUUCUGGUAGGUAGAGGGGUGGACACAACAGGGUUUCCAUAAUGGAAUGCAUGAGAAUCCACAGGGAAUCCAAUUCUUGAUUGCUGAUAAGAUUCAGGAUUUCCCCACACAGGUGGUUGUGGUGUUUCAUUGAUUUCUACUGGUUGUGUAGUAUGGACUUGUGGGGCUCCAGUAGUGUAAGAAGCUAGUACUUCAGUUGGAACAAACUGAUUCUUGUCUAAGGUAUUCUCUACAGGUAACUCCCUUCCUGCAAGUUGUGGUGGUUGUUGAUCAUAGCUGUCUUCCCUUCUAGGUGUUUCAAUAGGUGACUUAGCAUGCUCAUUUUUAACAUAAACCUCUGACGGGCUUAUCCUGAUUGUUUCCAUCAUCUCUUCUUUUGGAAAUUUAUUAAAGUAUACUUGCGGAGACUCGCGAACCAGGUCUGAAGUUUGAACAUUCAGGGCUCCAGUAAGUGGAACUUCUUGAUUAACUGGAGUGUUAACCAAAUCUUCAUGUUUAACAUGAUACUGGGCUGGGGCAGCCCUCCUCAUGACGCCCUGGGGAGCUGAUAUCAUUGGAUGAUCCGCUUGAUGAAGAUAAUUUCUCUCCUCAUAUAUGCACUCAGAAGAAUUCUGCACUAUCCCUGCGCCAUCUGAAUGUGAUGUUCCAAGAGGAUCUACCAGGCCUUGGACUCUGGGUCGAAUAUCAACUCCCUGCCCUAAAUUACCUUCCCCCAAUGCUCCACUUACCAACACCCUGUUUGUUGGCUGAGGUCUCCAGUUUUCCUCAAGAAGAAGACCAUGGUAAUUUGAAUCUGAAUCAGAUACAGGACUCGCACCACCAUCGCGCUGACCCUGUACUGGUACCGGGUCAGAAUGUGCAUGAGGCAAAGCCUUCUGACACAUAAAGCAGUCUUCCAACCUGUUGGAUUUCUCAGGAUACAUUACCUGUUGGUGCGAUACCAAACCAUCACGAUACAUCACAUGCUCCUGUGGUGUAAUCUGAUGCCAACCAUAAGCACCUCCUGGUGCUGGUGAGGGGACCUGAACCUGAUAUGUAUUAUAGCUUUGUUCAGCGGGAAGCUGGACAACUCUGGGACAAAAGGCACUUUCAUCCACAUAAUGAUGAUCCAAUCGAGUCUGUUGGGGUUGCAUCAAUGGCUGAAGUACAUUUGGUCUCAUAUUAACAUGAGAAGAUGGACUCAUUGUCAUAUGCACAGCAGGAACAAAAUGAUGUGAGGUCAUGCCAGCACCACUAUCACGGAAUUGUUGUUGGGUAUAGACAGGACCAGCAGUCCCAAACAGGUGAUUGUUUGGGAAUCCCAUAUGGGGAGGAAGCUGGUGAGGGCUAACAUAAGCUUGCAGAUAUGGAGAAGUUGACUGAAUGUCAAUUCCAGGUUGCUGCAACCCCAGUUGCUGCUGUGAUACUGUAACAGGAGCAGUCCUUUCAAACUCAACCUCAGGGGGGGAAUAUGAUGUUUGGGGAGGCCCAGUCUUAACCACAUUAAUGCCUGAUGGAAUAGUAGAAACCACUGCAGGAUUUGGAUCUGGAAAACCCAAUCUUGUACCAGUGUCCUGAGAGUUUGUCAAAUCUCCUUUAGGGGAUAACUUGUCCCCCUGGCUAGGAACGGAACUAUCAACAACAUCAAUUCCACUAUAAUCAGAAUUUUGAGUUGAAGUUGCACUUGUUAUACUCUCCCUCCUCAUGAUACCACUACCAACCCCAUCCGAAAUCCCAUUCACAGCAUCAACAUAUCUCUGGCCACUCUCAUUUAAAUCCCCAUACUUUACAGAACCAUAUGUAUCAAGGUCUGAAGCAGAAAAAAGAAAUACCCUCAAUUUUGCUGACCCAUCUGGAGAUUUCUCCACCAACUUCUCAUACUCAUCCUUCAUAUUGUCAAGAUCAUCAGCACAUGAAACUGACACUAGUGCAUCAAGAUCCUCGUCGGGUAGCUGAUACUUGAUAACCACAGAUUGCCCAUACGAAUCCACCAUUUUCUGCACUAGCUCGUUCAGGUUCACAUCUCUCCGAACACUAAUAAUCCUUGUAUGUCCUCCAACAUAUCUCAACAUCCCAUCACUUGGUCUGGGCAAAAUCUUGCCUCCAAAACUGCACAGCAGCUUUAUUUUCUUCCCUGACACAGAAUCAUCUCCACCAUCAUCACUGGCUUGAUCACUCCGAUUUCCCAUAUUAGGACUAUAAGCAUACCCAGACAUCGAAUCACUACCUGACUGAUCAGCAAUAUUGCCCUUACUGCCUAAAUUGGUACUAUAACCAAACCGAGCUGACAUAUCACUAACACCCUGAUCCAUACCAUUACCAACAACCAUAUUCCCCAUAUUCGAACUACACACAUAAGGCCCAGCUCCAGCUGUAGCAGGAGAGCUCACAAGAUCAACAGCAUUCCCAACAACCCUACUCCCCAAAUUAGGACUGUAACCGAUUCCAACUCCCAUCGCAGGGCUCACACCCUGAUGCCCCACCGUCACAGGCAUCCUCGGCCCCCAUGUGGACACCGGAUUCCCAUACCCUAAACCAACAUACCCCGCCUCCGAAACCGGCCCAGGGUAAUACAUAGGACUACUACCUUGAGCCAAAUUGGGUAUAAACCCAGCUGAAGUAGCCAAUGCAAUGCGGGGGGGCUCCUCAGCCACAGACCUCGCUACAUUUAAAGGCCUCAAAUCUUGGGGAACCGAAUUUUGAUCAAACGUCAUAUCUAGAAAACCAAUACACAAAUUUCGAAUCAAAGCCCUGUAAAUUUUUUCAAUCCUAAACACUAAAAACAGAGGAUCAAACACAACAAAGCUCACAUCUUUGCUUCCACAAUCUUAAUAUCACUACCAACCCAAGUCAUAUUCCACCAAACUAGUCUUAAAUUUCACAUCUUUACACCAAAACAGGGCUAAGCUAAACACAGAGAUAUCAAAUUUGCAAAUUGCAAUACACAAAGAGAGAAACAGAGAGAGAGUACCUGAUUGAAACGACGUCGUAGAAUGAGAGAGAGAGAGAGAGAGAGAGAGAGAGAGAGAGAGAGAGAUAGAGACGACUCUGAGUCGGUGAUCAAGCUGUGACAGUGACAAGCGUCCCCCUCAGGGCCUCGUCACUUUUGGGUUUUGUCUCUAAAGAUCAAAAUUUUGAAUCAUCUACAAGAUUUCUGGAGGUGGGUUUGAAAUUUUUCUCGGGAAAAAAAGGAAGGGAGAAAUAGAAAGUGUGAACGUGAGAGAAUAGAAAGAAGGAGAAUUUUAGGUUUUUAGAAAGAUUUGUUUUGUUUUGUUUUGGGUUUGAGAGAAGAGAAGGGAGGAGAGGGGAGGAGGAGGAGGGUGGUGGUGAGGACUGAGGACAAGGCACGUGGAUGGUUUCAUGCAAGAUUGUGAUUCGGAGUCAAAAAAGUGUUGUGUGGGGGGUGGGGGGGUUUGUGUCAUUGUGUGUCAAGAACUUGGGGAGGAAGGUCUUGAUUCUCAGAUGGUGACAAGUUUGUGGGACUGAAAUACUUUUGGUUUAAGGUUUGGUCACAUUAUCUUUUAUAGACAAUUUUCUUUUUUGGGGAGGUGAUGUCAAUAUUGGAUUGAGACACUGUUCAUGAGGGCAAAUGUUCAUUAGGGUCUGAGCUUGUGUGUGUUUGGUGUGAUGAUGGUGUGAUUUUGGAUCAUAAUUCAUGAGCCACAAUAUCCAACUAUUUAUUGUGAUGAUUAUGAGUUCAUGAUGAAAGAUGCAAAGGGUUUUACAAAAGAAAAGAGAUUGAGAAUCGGUUUCAUAAGUGCUGAAACUUUACUCAUAGCACUAAAAUUAAGGGUAUACUCAAAAUUAUGAAAUUUUAUAAUGAUAUGUUUGUCGUGACAUCAAAAUAACGUGUACGUUAUAAAUUUUAUUUUGAGAUGAGUUUCUUUUUUAAUUUAGAUGGUGUUUUGAAAAUUGUAAUUUUUAAUUUGCUAUGUUAUUGUGUGUUGUGUUCGUCGAAACAUUAUCUAAUAAUAGACAAGCUACAAAAUGCAAUUCGUUUUGACUCAAUAAGCUCAUGUUCAUUAAAAGAACGAUCGAGUAGAGGUUGUAAACAACUCCUAUCUUUGUGAACAAACCGACUUGAAUAUGUUCAUAGUUGGCUCCUCAUCUAAAAGAUGGAUAUAAUAGUUCAUUUGAGGAUUGGGGUGGCAAGAAAAGAAACACUAUAUGGCAAAGACAGAGAGGAAGUGCACUAGAAAUAUCUCACACACACCUUCAUCACCAAGAAACAUCCUAGAGCCUAUUUGUCCAAGUAUAUCAUUUGGGGUCCAAUGCAACACUUGAUCUGAUUGGACAAGGAAAGAAGAUCAUUUGAAAUUUGAAUGCUCAACCCUUUUGUUAGCAAAGUCACAAUUAAUAAACAAACUCCAUUAGAAAAGGGUAAAGACAUAAACAAUACCCAGCAAAACUUUGUUGGGAGAUGAUGAAGCAGAAUCUUGUUUGUUUUGAGUAGUAUAUAACCAGAGAAUACAAAAUGCCCUGAGAAGCAACACUUCUUCGAGUGAGAAUGGGAGACAAAACUCUUCUACUUGAAGUUUUAUAAUUGAUAACCAAAUCAUAUAGUUAAUCCUUAGAUUAAACCAAAAACGUCAUCACGCGUUCUACUUCUUUAUUGAGAAACUUGGAAAGUUAGUUUUGAUAGACUGAAAGAUAAGAAAGGUAGUUAUGCUUGCACAACAAAAUUGACAUCCAACUCUCACUUUCUUAUGUUGUUUCUGUUAAGUUAGGCUAGAAUCUGAAGAGAAUCGCCCAGAAUCUGAGAAAAGAACAAAAGGCAGAAGAUAGCUAGAAUCACCCAGAAUCGUAAAGGUUGGUUAUAAAAUAAGAAUUCAAAGUAAAUACUAAACGCUGGACAUUAGGAGUCUUUGAACUUCAAUUAUAUUGUAUAUAGCUGCAUUAAUAUAUGACAUGCCUAUUAGUUACACCAUACCCAGUAAUGCCAACAGUGAUGGAAGCCCAUAUUAUGAGAAUAAAAGGCACAUACCACCAGUUAACUCUAAUCUUCGUUUUCUAUGAGAAGCAAGAGCUUUGAUAGUUCAUCAUCUGAUCAUCACCCUUGCGUAACCUGUACAGUAGUGUACGUCUUGCAUCCAAAAGCAGGAGCUCCUUGUAGCCUGGUAGAACUCUGUAGUUGAUCGAGUUUCGGGUUUUAUUUUGCAGGACAUGAAAAGCCUUCUUAGACCAAUGAAGGAUCUGAGCAAUGCAAGCUGGGAAGGAUGUGCAUCAUAUGCUAACUUAGGUUAUUACUUACCUUAUUCUUGUAUAUGCUACGUACUUCUAUUCUAAUUAGGUUUAUCACUUGGGAUCUUGACCGUUAGGUUUAUCACUAGGUUUCAUGCAAGAUUGUGACUUUGAGUCAAUUAGAGGUGUUGCGUACGUGGGGGAUUUGUGUUUGUGGGACUCAAAAUCUUUGAUCAAGGUUUAGUCACAUUAUCUCGAGGAUGCAUGGCAUAAUGGAAGCCCAUAUUUUUAGUUACACCAUACUCAGUAAUGCCAACAAAUUAAGAUGGGACUCAUGGGAGUCCAUAUAAUCAAAAUGAAGGGCAGCACUGCUUCUUCGUUUUGUAGUCGAGCAACUACCACCCACUUCUUCAGAUAAUACCACCAGAUAACCACUAUCUUGGCUCCGUCGCAUCGAAAAUUUCUAAUCCAAAAGCCCUAGUUUUGGAGACUUGAAGCGUGACUUUGCUGCCGGACACGAAGUUGAAAAGACCUAACUAAUGUUCUAGGGGAUACAUCCCUUGUUAAGGAUCUCUUCUUGCGAAUUCUCUACACCAAAUCUCUUAAACCGUGCCUAAAACCAAACAUGAAACAUGGCUUAAAUCACAGUCGCAUAUAAGAGGUAACUAAUUAUGCAAUGAUAACCUCACCAGAGGAACAUUUUCAGUGAAUAAUUUACAGAGAUUUUUAACAUGCAGAUCAAGAAAGGUUACGUAAUGUACGUUUAUAUACAGCACCAAUAUUGUAUAAACAGUGAAACACAAUUAGCCUAGUCAAACAAUCAAUAUCGAAUACUCCUCCAAUCCCUCAGGCGGAGAUUAAAUUAGCUACAAGCGGUUAUCUCCUUGGACGCCGGAGAAGCGGCCGCAGCGGACUCCUUCGGCGGGGAAUGUGGCAACCUCGCCGAGAAGUUCCUGAGAGGAAAGCCGCCGUCAUCCUCGUUAGGGUCCUCAUGAUCAAAGUUGAGGGCGUAACUCAGCUCGUCGUAUUUGAAGUCCCCGGAGUGCCUCCUCCCACUACUGUGGCGCCCCAUGCGGCCAAUGGCCUUGCGACACUUGUCCUUGAGCUCGGAGAACUCAUGGUGAUGGUGAGAGCGCGCCGAUUUCGGGGUGGAGAGGGAGGCGUCGGAGGGACGUAGGAGGCCUAAGUCAUCCCGGUUGUGGCCGCUGGCGCUGUAGCCAUGUGGGGUCGUGGGGGCGGUGAUGGAGCCGUGGCUGUGGUUGUGUUGGUGGUGGGAUUUAUUGUCUUUGAAGCAAGGGAGAAUACAAAGAGAAGAACGUAGCUUUUUCCUGAGGCCGCUAGGAGAAGUUGGGCCCGGCGUCACUAUCCGUAGGUCCAUUUUCCGGUCUCUAUUACCGGUGACGUUGGUGAUGGCACGGAUGCAACAGUACAAUGGUAUUUUCAAGUUGAGGGAUGGUGGCGGAUGUUGUUUUUGGUGGUGGAGUGGUGGUGGUCGUGGUUUUGAGGUGUAGUAAUUGGGAGGGUUUGGAGGAAAUGACGGGUGAAGAUUUUGUGAAGGCCCGGAUUCGUGGGGAUGCUCAGAGGUUAUCGCUCUUUCACCCAAAUUAAGCAAAAAUGUAAAUUUAAUAGUUUAUUAUGAAAAUUUAAAGUCAGAUAUGGGCAGGGCUGUAUGUUGCUUAUUAUACAAGUAACAAUUGGGCUUGUAGAUUUUUUUUCGAACAAGAAUUAGGCUUGUAGUUAAGCCCAAUUAGUUUUCACUAGGGUUUUUUUUACCUCAGUUGCUUGGAAAAUGCGCACACCUCUUAUAAAUACCUACAUCAGCCAAAGCCUUAGUUACACUGUAGAUAUUCACAGAGGCAAACUGCAAGGCAGUCGUUUUUAUCAGCCAGAUUAGGGUUCAUAUAUUUCUUUAUACAAAGAGAUGAAUGUUGAGAACAAGAGGGUUAACAAUAUGUAAAUCCCUCUCUCGCUCUCUACAGUCACUCUUUGUAUGAAGUGAUGCACUGAAUCCCUCUAUAAUCCCUUUGGGCACUUAGUUUUGCAACUGCUUGGAUCAGAUCUCACUCCAUUGUUGUAGUUACAUCGAUCAGCUGAGUUCAUGAUAGCCUUGUCGAUCUUGGUGGUUAAUUUUUUUUUUUUUUUUUUCAGUGAAUAUGAGGGUCCUUUGUAUGAGUUGUCUUGUAUAGAUCUUAUACAUGUCUAUGUCUUGUUUAAGUUCCGGCAAUCCGGUUAACGAUUUCCAGUCUCAUUUUGUUUCAUAUUAAUGUGUUAUUGAUUUCUUAAUCCUUGAACUUCUCUCAAUGCUUUUUCUGUAGAGCUACCACAUGCUAACUGAUUGCACUACAAAAGAAAUAGGAUAUUGCCAAUUGCGAUAUGUUUCAGAUGAUCUAACGUUGCAUUUGGUUUUUGGUUUCCUGAUGAUAUUUCAGUGCACUGAGGCCCAUUUGGUUGGCAGGAAACAAAAAAAAGAGAUAUGACUGGAAAUUGACUCUCUCAUAAAACUUGAAUUCAAUUACUUUGUCAAGGGUGGUAUAACUGGUAUUUCAAUUCCAUUCCCACUGUCAAAGCCACAAUUACAUAAAUUAUCCUCUCAUAAAUUUAAAUGUUGUACGUAUUUGGAAAUUAUAAAGGGGCAUUAUUGAAAAAUAUAACUUUGUAUUUCAUUAUAAUGACGUACCAAACAUUACAAUAGGAAUUAAUAUACUUGAUUCUAUCAUUUAAUUUCCAAUAUAACCCAAACACCUACAUGAAAAUACCAAAACAUAUUCCAUUCUAUAUCUGUUUGAAAAAGAAAAUAAACUCAUUUCCUAUUUUUACUUUCCUGCAUAAAUUCAUUUCCUAUUUUUACUUUCCUACGGGGCCUCGAAGCAUUUUCAAUCUCAAAGGAAAUGACGGAUGGUGGCGUGGUCGUGGUUUUAGAGGUGUAGUAAUUGGGAGGGUUUGGAGGAAAGGACGGGUGAAGAUUUUGUGAAGGCCCGGAUUCGUGGGGAUGCUCAGAGGUUGUCGCUCUUUCACCCAAAUUAAGCAAAAAUGUAAAUUUAAUAGUUUAUUAUGAAAAUUUCAAGUCAGAUAUGGGCAGGGCUGUAUGUUGCUUAUUCUACAAGUACCAAUUGGGCUCAUACUUUUUUUUUUGAACAAGAAUUGAGAUUGUAGUUAAGCCCAAUUAGUUUUGUGAUGACGUGUAUAGAAGGUAUGGAUCAGUAUCUUAUUGUUUUUGAUAGGAAAUGGAUGUGAGUAUCUUAUUGAUUAGUGUAACUGUGUAAGGUUGCCAAUUUGAUAAUGAAAUUAUGUGAUCCUGAGAAUCCUUCCUUAUUCUGCUAACAUGCUCCUACUUAAUUAGCAUCUCAAAUGAUAGUGAUCAUUGUCGGGACUACGGAUUCCUAAAUAUGUACUAAACAACUUUCACCUAAUGUCAAAAUUCGCUACCACAUAAGGAAAUAUAUAUACUAAUCUUAAAUGUGGUUUUGAUAUAAAACGUUAUACGAUAAACACGCGUUGUGUAAUAUAGUAUGGAGAGAUGAAGACUAGCUAACAAAUUAACUCAUCGUCUGAAAAUGUAUUAAUUAAGAUUUUCAUCUCUUUAUAUGGGUGAAAACUAAAAUUAACAUUUAUAUGAUUGAUACAAAGUUUAUUAUCUACCAACGGCUCCCAGUGAGAAAACACAUUUUUGAGGAUUCUAAAUGCAAAUAUCGCACUUUCACAUGCUUAGCUGCCAAAUACAAUAACAAUUUGAUGGUCUCGUAUUUAUAUAUUACCGUUUUAAUGAUAUAAAAUUGAAUACCAUUAAACGGUAAUGUUUAUUGGAUAAAAUAAAAUUCCAACCAAGAAAAGGAAAAAGAAUUAUGGAUUUACCAUAAUCUCUUCCAUCAUGAAAAUGUGAACUAUAUAUAAAACUAGCAGCUUUCCCACCAUAGAAACCAGAAUCAUGAGAAGCAAUGAAGCUGAAAACCAAGAAUUACCAGUCACACUGCAUUGUAGCACAACGGAAGGGCCUAAAUCAAUUUGGUAGGUCACGUGGCUCACUCUUGGCCUUGUGUACCCAAAUUAGUGCUUCUUUUCUGGUCAGAAUUACAACAAUUCUGAUUCUUUUAUCAGCUCAAUUGAAACUUCCUCACUCUUUCCAUUCCCUUUCCGACCUUGUUCCUCACCCACUUUUCACUUUUCUUCUCUCAGUUUCUCCCACCCAUAAUUGAGAACAGAGAGAGGAAGAGAUUGAUAGAGAGAGAGAGAGGGAGAGAGAUGAACAGAGGUUGAUGAAGAUCGACAUGAUUGAUUCAGAUAGCUAGGUUUUAGCUACCAUCAAUGGUAUGGCCCCUCUUUUGUCUCCCACCAAGCUUUCUGAAUCGUUCACAAUUGUCUUCUUCCUCUCUUAGAACAUCAUUUCAGGCAGCUAGCUUCUCAUAUCUGAAGAGGCUGGUUGUUUAUAAAUAGGAGAAAAACAUGUAUACAUAGCAUACUUCGAUUCUAACGCCGACAGCUUAUAUUUAAGUUGUUGCGGUUAAAAAGCUCGUAUAUACUCCCUGUAGUCAUAGUUACACCUUAGCUGCAAUGGCGGGGAUGCUUCCUGGUGUGGAAUGUGCUCGAAGGAGACGAGUCCAUCAGAGCAGUGAAUCACCAAAUCCGGCUAAUACAAAUGGCUGCACCAGACGCUCAUCUUUUUGCCUGUAUGCUAGCAACAAUGAAACUCACCAAACCUCAACGUUUUCUCUGGUAAUUAAUCAAUUUAACUACUGUGUCUAAUACUUGGUUUUUCCUCAUUUUUGGGUGAUUAUUUGAUUGUUACUUGUUUUUGAAUAUCAUAGCAAAGAAGCAAGCUGAAUCAGGCUUCAUACAUGGAUGAGAAGCUAGGAGUGGAAGCUAGAGUAGCCAAGGAGAGACUAGAUGAAAGAUUGAGAACGCAGAGAAAAACACAACCCAAUAGGUGAUUGAUUACUUACACCCAACUUUCAAAGCAUGUAAAUUAGUUAUCAAGCUUGGUUAGUUUUCUCAUACAAAUGAUGAAUUGGGUAUAGGCUAAAUAGCAAGGAAGGAUCAUUGAGAAGUAGUAGUGUGGAUGAUGGAAGAUGUACCAUGAUUCCUAGGGAGUUGCACAGAGAAGUGUAUGGAUCAAAGAAGACUACUACUAAGACUGGGUCAAGGAAGUUCAGCUGGGCCAAGUUGAGCUGGAAGUCAUCUGACCAAGAUGAGUGCGCUGUUUGCCUUGAGAGGUUCAUGCCAGGUGAGACCCUGGUGCAUCUGCCUUGUGCUCAUAGGUUCCAUUCUGGCUGCAUGGUCCCAUGGCUAGAGAAGAAUGCUCAUUGCCCUUGUUGCAGAAUGGGGGUAGCUUUAGUGUCCCAGUAAAUUGACUUCUCUUUAAUUUGUGUUGAUUUAUCUGUAAUGAGCUUGCAGUUGUAGGGUUGGUGUGGAUCAGGAUGUUCCUUUAUGGAUCAUUACCUUGUAGCUGUCAUAUGAUUUUGUUGAUGAAAGACUAGUGAGGAACUCUGUGUGUGAGUGAAAUUAUGUAUAUAAAUGGUCGGUAGUUUCAAGGUGCUUCAUAGUAGAGAUCAAAUGUCAUACAUAAACACAUUUUUGCAACAUCAUUCUUCACCAUGCAAAUCAAAUAUGGGGAACUGAAAAUUUGGGGAUCAAGAUUUCUUGAAAAGGUUCAAAUAUAAUUGAAGUACCAAAGCUUAAUCUAACUAAAAUGAGAGUAUAACAUCAUUUUGCAAUGUUGUUAGGUAUAAAUCAACAUAUCAGAAAAUACAUCAUUCAGUAAUUCCCAUUCCAUAACAGAAGGGACAUAUGUAGACCCUUCUUGUCUUACUUCCAUAAGACUUUAACCAUAAGAAUGAACAAAUAAUAGACAUGAUGAGUUUUGAAGGAAAUGCAAGUGAGUGAAUGAAUCUAAUUCCAUCGAGUGUCACAAUCUGUCAAUUCUUUUCCACCCACCUCCUGAAAUUGAAUUUAAGAUAAUGCACCUCGCAUGUGACUAGUGGCCCAAAGAUUUGAACAUAUGGGAAUGGGAUUGCCUUUCUGUCUUGGUCUCAAUUCCAUUUUAUCUUGCUUACUCAUUAAACCAUUCAUUUAGGUGAAUCAUCACUCUCAUAUUGUUGCUUGAUCAAAAGUUUGAAUCACUAAUUGAUAAAGAUUAUCUAUAGUUCAUCUUUUCCCUAUCAUAUCCUAAUUUGGUUAAAAGCUCGCACCUUUCUGUACUGUGAAGCUGGAGAGCACUAUUAUGUUGUUAUCAUAGGGCAAAUAUCUGCCUUGAUUGAUUUCAUUUGCUGGGUUGUGUUAGUAUAAUCAAGCUUUUAAGAUAUGUUCUGAUUACUUCUGUAUUUUUUUCUUUGUGAUUUGAGACUUAUCGAGUGAGUGAUCGAGUGAGUGAUAAACAAGAGUCUAAAACGUCUAAAAGUUUUCACAUGUAACAAAAGAUUGAGACGUAUUGCAUGAUUUUUUUAUUUUUUGGUACUGUUGGAUUUCAAAUCUGCUACAUGUACGUCCACUAAGUAGGCAAAAUCAUACAAUGCGUCUCAAACUUCUGUUUGCAAGAAAAAUGAUUACGAAAGGGUAUGAUAGUGAUAGUGAGCGAGAUUCAAAUUAGGGACAAGAAACACAAAAAUUUACCAAACCCUUUCGUAUUUACUGAUACCAUUAGGCAUUAGCUCAGGAAAACGUCUCUUUACUUUAAAUGGUGAAAAUGACAUUGCCAAUUCCCAAGCAACAAGCACCAAAACGACGACGUCUCCUCACUGCAUCUUUUCAUUAUUUUUGCCACCAAGUGGGUUUCAAAACACUCGCUUCUCUCAACGGCUAGUUCCUAGUGACCGUUUUCCUUCUCCCCAAAUUCAAAACUACCUCUCUCACUCACUAAGCUCACAAAAAACCAGAUUCACAGCUCUGGCAUCUUACACAAACCCUCGAUAUCUCUCUAACGCUUUUGCCAAUCCUUCGAAUCAUCAAGAUCCCAGAUCAGUUUCAAGAAUGGUGUACUCUUACGCACCCACCUACUACUCCUCUCUCCAUGAGUCUGUCACCUCUUUGUGCAAGACCAUCCUUCCCUUCAGCUUCAAGAAACGCCGCUUAACAUCAGCGGAACACAAGCUGUCGAAGCUUCAGUCGGAUAAUCUCAAGUGGCAGCAAGACUCUUUCCACCAGAUUCUCAACUUGAUGGGUCUUCACAAAGAAGGCAUUUUGGCUGAGACUGAGGUCUCAGCUUUUCGAUCCCAUUUGCUUGACACCCUCAUCGCUGCUCCGGCAGAGCAUGAGCAGCCGGUGAUCUUGCGAGAUAAGCUGCUUUUCUUGCAGGUAAACAAUCUAAGAUCUCUCUUUCUUUCUUUAUUCAUUGUUAAAAAUAUGCGACGGGGUAUUGUAAGUUUCAAAUUGUUCUUGUUCUUGCUGUCGCGAUCUAUUGAGAUUAACGGGGAUUAAUUAACCUUGUAGGAGCUGUUGUAUGCUAAAUGCAUAUCUGAAGAUGAGUACCAUUCUUCAAAAAGGCCAUUGCUGCAGAGAUUGGCAGUGCAAGGAGCUGAGAUUGAGGCCAGAGAUGUUAUUGUUUCUGGGGCACCAGUUAAAGAGGCGAAAGAGAAUGCAGAGGAGGAGUGGUCUGUCAUCGACUUAAAGGAUGACAAAAACUUGACAAACAAAGAGGGAUCGAAUUCGAAGAGCAAGAAAGGGAAGCAUGGCUCUGCAAUGAAGCAAAUCAAAGGAGCAGCUUCGGUUUUGGGGUUUGUCUCGCCUUACAAACAAGGGAAGAACAGAGAAGAGAGGAGCAUUUUCGAUUUGGCUAACAACUCUAAGCUUGAAACAAGCUCAAUUCUCAUGCAGGAGAGUUUGCCUCCUGUGAAAGAGAGUGGUAGCUCGGAUAGGACAAAGAGGAAACCGUUUAGGAAUUUGUUUCAGAAAGAAGGAAAUGGUGAUGAGAAUUGUGUCGAGAAAGAACAACAAACACCUUCGAAAUCGGCUAAGAAGAAAUGGGGGUUUGAUGGGUUGAAGAAGUGGAAGAGGAAUGAGUCAGAGGAUGAGACAACUCCUCUGCCUCUUAAUGAGAGAUCAGAUGAUGAAGUUCAUGUGAGGCUUGUGGCAAGCCCAAUGGGUGAAGGGCCAGACACUAAGCUUAUCAAGAGGAAGCUGCUCUCAGAUGGCUCUCCUUCUGAUUUCUUCAUUGAUAAGGUUUGACAUUGUUGAUUUGGUUUCUUAGAGUUGAUAUGAUAUUCGAGAAUUGAGCUGAAACUGAAUCUUGGUCACUUUCAUUAUGUGCAGGUUGUAGGGGACAAGAUAAAGAAGGAGCUGUCGAGAAUUCAGACCGAGCUUUGCACAGCAAAUCCAAAUCUUAAAUUUUCGUAAGCCUUUCUAUUCUACUUAUGGUGAUUUGUUGUAUAAGCAUUGGUGUUGAAAAACAAUCUUUCUUUUAUGAAUAUAUGAGUUUGAUUCAUGGAUUCAUGGACUUGAUCAGGAAUGACCAAAUUGAAGAAAUUUCGACUAAACUUCCAGUCGACAAGGCUGAGCUAAAGAAGUUCUUUCCCAAGUAAGAUCAAUUCCAAAACCAUUCACCUUUUGAGCCUAGAAUCAGCUAAAUUGUAUCACCCUUUUGAUCUCCUUUGUUUUGAUGCUUCAGGUCGUGGUGUGAUCGGUAUGGAGAUGUCGUUUUGGAUGUGGUGAAGAAAGAAUUUAAGGACCAUGUAGGGGAAAUGGAGAGCUUGAGGAAUGCAGCUAGAGAGAAACAUGGCAUGAACUCGGCUCGGUGGACAACAUUCCAAGAUGAUGAUGAAAAUUGUCACCCGAAUCUCUUUGCUAACCGAGAUCAUUCGUAUUAUGGUAGUGGCACUUCAAAGUUCCAUGAAACCAAUCCUUUCUGCGAUGAUCACAUUACUGCCAAUGGAAGCAAUGCCAGCAAGCUGAGAUCUAAACCAUCUUUUACGCAAGACCAGAACCAGAACCCCUUCUGGGUCCCUGGACAUGGCUAUUGAUAACACCCAGGCACUGCUAUAUUCUGGGUAAUGUUCUAGGGGAGCAAUGGUCUAUGUUUACAGAUUAUGAAUUUUUAUUGAGAAAAUGCUUAUGGAUUCUGUAAGAGCUCGGCUAGCCAAGUAACUCAAACUCUAUGUUUGACUUGUAAAUUAGGCGAUGUAAUUUCUCCCUGUUGCUCUCCUAAAGUAACAGGGUUGGUAAUUUAUUCAAGUGCUUCCAUUUUGUGCAGAAUGUGUGUCAAGUAUUGCUGACUAGCUUGUUGAAAGAUUCUGCAUUCUCAAGGCUCUAAGUUAAAGAAAUGUCAAGGAUGCGUAAAAUAAACAUUGAUCCAAAUAUCUAAUAUUUCUUAAUCUCUGUACAAGAACAACAAAUCCGCAUCAUGAGGAUUGACUUGGAAAAUUCAGAUGCAAGUUAGCACUGAGCAUAAAUGAGUUAGUAUUUGCCCGUGGAGGAUAAAAAGUUGUAUAUGCGAAGGACCAUCAAUAUUUACAGAUUCAUAUGAACAAUUCAUAUCAAAUAGAAGAUAUCGAGUUAGAUACAGAGCGGUCAUUCAAACCUUCACGAACAUCUCCUCGACAAAGUGGACAAACUCUGUAAGAGAAGAAGGCAGCAGGAUAAGAAACCAUGAGUAUUGACUUUCAGCAUGAAACAAGGGAAAACAAAGGAUAAUGAUGAAAAUAUAAUCAGGGGAUGGCAAUAAGCAUACCCAUGUAUCUCUUUGAGCCACUUAUCCACACAUGACAUGUGAUACUCAUGGUGGCAAGGCAGAACUCGAAUUUUGUCCCCUUCCUCAUACUCAGCGAGGCAGAUGUAGCACCUGUCAAUUAUUAACUCACCAUGAUCAAACACUGACAGAUGCAUUAUGCACACUUGACAAAUAAUAAGAAAAAAAAUCAAAUAAAUAAAACUUACUGUUCAACAUCAUCCCCAUGCUUCAAUUUGUCAAGCUUACUGUGACUCUUCAGAGGAAAUGAGUCAACAACAGAUGCUGGGGCAGGGACUGAGACCAUAGACAGUGAAAGUGACACGGGUUGGCGAUGAAUUUCAUCCAAAACCUGCAAAUUGGACCAAAAAUUGUUACAAAAUUAUGUGACGGAGCUCCAUUGAUAUUAUUCAUUUGUAUCUCCAAAGUGCAGACAGAUUAAAAAAUGUAACGUUUGAAAGGAUGUUAAACUAAAUUCUUCGAACCCGGAAGCAUAUUCGAAAGGAUUAGCAGUAUAUAGAGAUGCUCUAAGCUAAUACAAAGUACAUAACCAAAAAGUAGAAAAACACAUGGACGUGUUCCCACAGAACAGAAGCCAGACUGGAAAGCAAUGCGGUAUGAUGAGAUUGUGAAUAGCACUUCCCUAAGAAUAUAAAUUUAUCAACUUGUAAGUUUAAUUAGUGCCAUGAAUGAUGACAUCCAGAUAUAGGUACUCUAUCAAUUGACAAUAAGUGCAGUGACAACAACACAUACAUAAAUGGCUUCAACUUCCACAAUGCCUGCUCGAAACAUGUGUCAUUCAUUUAACUAGGCCAGAAAUUUACAUACUGAGGUUAAUACGCACCAGCUGAAAUAUAUACCGAGCCAUUCAACAUAAAUUGGUGAAACCGUGAAAGAGAAACAAUCUUUAUAAAUGUUUUUCACUCAUUAGUCACCAACAGUGGCACAAUCUACCUAACCAGAUGCAUGCGACCAUAGAAGACUUGGCCUUUUGAAAUGAAAGCAGACCCAAGACAAAAGUAUUUGAAGCUUCAUUGUUAUAGCCCAAAACAUGCAAGCAGCUUUUGAACUAAUAUGCAUUAUCUCAAUCUCGAGGAAUAGGAGAAACUGAAGCCUGAGGACAGAAAAUUACCUCGAAUAGAGCUUCAGCAAGCAUCACAAUUCUCGAUAUACUUGCCCGAGCACUAGACUCUUCCGUCAUCAAGAAUGAACCACAUGAGCACAUGCCUCUGGGGUGAAUCCCUGUAGGACAAGUAGUAUUGCGGUGACCAUUACCAUCAAGGCCACCACGAAGCCUUUCCCAGACCUGAAAAGAGUGUGGAACAAAAGCAUAAAUAUAAUUAUUAGGUGGGGAGCAUAAGAACAAGCUGUUAGUUACUAUAUAUAGGAUUUUCUGCCCUAUAACAAGUGUGUUUUUUUUUGGGUGACAACAUCUAUAUUUAACACGUUGUAAAGUUAUAUAGAAGUACUAUUAGUGCAUGAUUACAUAACACAAUAUAUCACUAUAAUGUUAUACAUGAACAGACACCUACAUAUCAUUCCAUAUAACACAAGGUCCCUCAAGUCAAUGGAACCAAAGUAUCAAUUUUCAGAUCCAAGUUAACUCAGAUGAUUGAAACAAUAUCACAAGAGCCUUUUAAAGUUUUAGAAGAUCACCUCAGAUCUAGAGUGUCGGCGCCGUUCACUCAAGUUAGGAGUUCUAUUCACCUGGUGACCAGAAUCAGCUCCACUCCGUUCAUCAAGAAAAUCACCACUCAAACCAAGUAGCCAUCUGUCAUGAAAUCCUAGAUCCUCAGUGUCAUCAGUAGAGAAAAGUAUGGUUGGCGAAUCGAUAAACCUUCUCGAACUGCGUCUUGAAAAUGCAUCCCAAAAAAGACGCCUACCAUUCCUUCUGGACUCACGGUUACUUGUGUCACCAUUACUCCUGGACAAAAAGUUCGAAGAAAUGCUCAUGACAUCAACAUGAACUACACUUCCAUCUUCCCGGCUUUGUUCCCUGUUGGACAUAAGGAAUCCUAAGCCAGAAGGUAUUGCCUCCCGAAGGGUAUCAUUUCCGCGUGAGGGAAAAGGUAACGGUAUAUCAGAAACAUGAACAGAAUCAGCAUCAGCAUUAGUAUUAUGGACAGCCAUUACUUCAGCCACAUGAUUCUCAACGGACAUGUUAUCAGAAUGGGAAUUCCCAAUCGUUUGUGGAGACGAACUAUUUGGACGCAUAACCACAGGACGAGCCUGAGAUGCACUCUUGUCUGCGGAGCCAGUGACUGUAUCCAUGUUAGCCGAACUAUUCACAGAGACUCGGUGGGAAGAUUGUUGUUCUUUAAACGAAGUACUAGCUGCAGUACUAUUAUCCCUACUAGAUUCAUCAUGAUUACAACCAGCACUUACCGGAUGAGAAAUGAGCUCCUUACUCCUGGACAAGCACUUCCCUUGGUUACUUGUGCCAAAACUUCUUAAACCUUCUUCAAAGUAAGUACCCUGACCUUCCGGAGCAACGCUUUGAGAUGAGGAUCCAAUUUCAGUAUUGGGGAAGGUAAACCCUGCCCCUGUACUGGAGAUCAACGAAGACACGUCUGUGGAGUUCUGAACUGGAUUAUUACCCCGAUCACAAUGCUCUACGUGUCUCACCAGGCACUCAGCUUGAUGAUCUUCCAUCUACAGGAAAGCCACCUAAGCAUAUCAGUACCCAUCAUAAUAUAUAAUACCAACUACUCAACCCAUGCAACAAAACAUUACAACACUAGCAACAUUCUAAUCUAACACUUCUCCAACCAAUUUCAGGGCCUUCCCUCAAAAUGAUCGGUAUAACAUUGUUUCUUCUUCAUUCAUGAUCAUUAAACAAUUCUAAAGACCAUAGAACACAUAAUUCGAACAAUACAUUAGAUGAUUGACCUGAUGAUCAACAAAUGGCCCUAAUUGAACUAUUUCUCAUCAGCCACAGAUAUACAAAUUAGAUAUACAAAUUCACAGAUACAUGAUAAACACAAACUCAAAUUGACCAAGCAACAACAAAACCACCAAUCACAAAGUCACCACCAGCUCAUCAAAUUCAAGAAACAAACCCCAAAUUCAUCAUUGGGUUUCUGUACCACACCAAAAAGCACCGAUCUUUACACCAAACGACCAAAACCCAAAUCAUAUAACCCAUCAAAACCCAAUAAAAAUCGAAUCUUUGAUCCAAAUUUACACAAACAAAACGAAACCCAACAAGGAAAAAGGGGGUACCUCGAGAGUGGCACGUGAGGAAGAGCCGCCGCAGACGAGAGAGGAGAGGAUGGAGCGAUUGGGUCGGGGCCGAGAUGGGCGCGAACCCAGUCGACUAGAGCUCGAACCCAUUUCAAGAAGAAGAGGGUUGAGAAAUGAAGGGGAUGAUAAUUGAAGCAGAAAGGCAAGUGAGAAAGGAAGGAAGGGUCAGAGAAAGAGAGGUGUUUGUUUAUUUCAAAUUCGAUGGUUUUGUGGACUCUACCGUAUGAUUGAGGUAAAGAAAUGCCUUUUAAUUUUUCGGUGCUUCUAAUAAACAGUUGAGAACGACUGAGACAUUUUUGUGUGUUUACUAUUAUCUAAAAUUUUGAGUGACAUUGUAAAUAAUUGGUUUAAAUAGGUAGGGGAACGAGAUUGAGAUGAAAAGGGAGAGAUAGAAUGGGAGGUUGAAACCUAAAUUCAUGCUUAAGGAUUGACUUACUAUUAUUAGAAAUAAAAUCAAUCACUAGUUAAUGAGUGAUCAAGAAUUUAGGGGAACGAUGAAAUAUAACUUGAUAUCUAAGAAAAAUUGUUAUCUUGGUGGAAAUGGUGGCAUUGGGAUCUUGUUUCAAUGCUUGAACUUUAAGUAUACAUUUUUUUUUUAUGAAGUUACAUCUCAAAUAAGAUAUGGUUUUCCAUUUUGCAUUUCUUUUUUAUGAUGAUCUCUAAAUUUGGAGCUAAAAGCUUGUGAAAACAGAAUAUAGAGGCGAGUGGACAUGAAUGUUCAAAACCAACCAGAAACAUAGAAGUGUAUGUGCAAAAACGGCAAAGUCCUUAAUGUAAAAUUUUGAAAAUACAAGACUAAGAAAAAUGUUUCGUAAUAAGUUGGAAUGGAUCAUUAAAAAUUUUAAUGUGGGCUUGGCAAUGGGGAAUGGCUAGAACUAGAACAACACCCAAGCCUAAAAUAGUGGAUCUCUAACCCAAGCUCAAUCUGGCCCAAACCUUUAUGUUUUGGUGUUACCCAGGAUGCUCUUCACAAAAUGAUAAACCUCUGCACUCGAUCGGCAAAUCUAUCACUAAUCACAUUAAGGAACAAAGAGACAAACACAUCACAAUUUGGACCGGGAUUCUUACUCAUUUGGAGUCAUAUAUAUGCCUAAAAUACGAGAUCUAUUCCACUCAACCAUAAUAUAAGCAUGCAUAAAAGCUGCAGAUAAUGUAAAAGGAACGUGUCUGGUAUAUAUUCAAGUAACACUAGACGCCAUGAAAGUAAACUUCAAAUCACCAAGGUAAAGGACAAUGGUGGCCUGAAUGCCUGAUAGUUAUUUUUCUGGCAUUAUUGCUACAGUUCUCUGUCGAUCGGAAAGGGGAGUCUGUGGUACGUACCAUUGCCAUUUCAAAAAGCUUUUGUCAUUUUACUUUUCAGUUACAUCAUACCAAAGAUUACUUACCUUUAGAAAAUGCCACUGGUGGUUACUGUGGUGGUUGUGGUUACUGUCACUGGUGUAACUGGUAGAAAAUGCCACCUAGCGUAGCUAAGAGAUCGUGUUUAGUGGAACGGGCCGGUGGAUCAGAUAUCUACAGCAUUUGAUAUCUAAUGUAUCAUCAUGAUGUGUAUAAGUACGUUUUAAGCAAGUUUAUGAUGUGUAAAGAUCAACAAUGUACUGCAGAUCGAUCUGCCGACCAGACUUUCUCUCAUUUGCUAGAGAGUUCUAAUGAUAAACCUAACACUUGUAGGUGUGGUAAGAAUAUCAGAUCACUAACUGAAAGCGCCAUAGAUAUGAAUUGUAGGUAAAACCUAACAAGAACGAACACUGAUAGAUAUGACUAGCAGUUCUAAUAUUUUCAAGAUGAGGAGGACAGGUUUCCCUCGGCCAUUGGUUGCCCGGAUAUAUCACCAUACCUAGCUUCCAUCUUUUUGCCACGUAUUGCCGGCCCCCAUACGUACUCAACCCUAUAAAUCAAACCCUUACAUUUCAGAGUUGAAUCGUUUAAGAAAAAAUGCCAGACCAUCCACCACCACCACACGGCGGCCACGGUCACGCACCACCCCCAGGUCCGGGACACCACGAGCCUCCUCCGCCCCAUGGCCAUGCUCCUCCUCCGGGGCCUCAUGCACCUCCUCCGGGACCCCAUGCACCUCCUCCGGGACCCCAUGCACCUCCUCCGGAACCCCAUGCACCUCCUCCGGGACCCCAUGCACCUCCUCAUGAUCCACACAAGCCACAUGACUGUCACCACGGUCACCACCACCCAUGAACCGAACUAGUCAUGAGGCCACGAUCGAGAAGCUAGUCUCAGCAAGUUGUUAUCUAUUUAUCUUUGUGCCUGUAAUGUGAUCUAGCUGCGGUUGUAGUUCUGAGUUGCUGGGUUUACUGGCUUUGCUCCAUUGAUCUCAUCGUUAUGUAAUGACUAAAAUAUGAGGACUAUGUAUGUAUCCAAAAGAAGGCUGAUCAUAUAUGUAUAAUAAGAAGAGUACUGGCUUUGUGGUUUAUGUAUAAUCCGCUUGUGUAAAACUUCUUCUUUUAUCCGUCUAAAUGUGAUGUAUAAUCAGAAAAUAUGGCCAGUUUGUCAUCUUGACCAACCUGAACUUACAAACUAAUUAAUUAAGUCAAUCUCCCCAAUUUCAUCAAUCUUCAUUAGGAUUUCAUCACUAGCUCAUUCCUUCACAGAUAAUUAACCAUUUGCUCGAUUGCUCUUAACAAACUGUAAUAGCCAAGAGGCAAACGCAUCCAUCUAAAUUCUAAAAAGUUAUUAACACAGGCUAGGGGUAAAUUAUCCUUUGUUCAGACCAAUCUCACAGUUGAAGCGAUGAAUUGGCUAAAACAAAAGCCUACGGGCAGAAAAACAAAGCAUCUCUAUUCGUACGGAAGAAUGACUUCCAUAUAUAGUAAGCCUUAUAGUUAUAACACCGUAAGUGUAUAAGAAUAGGAAUUCAUAAACGCAAUAAGAAGAAGACCGUGAAAGAGAUCGAAGAUUAAAGCAGGCCUUAAUGUCUUGUAUAUUCUGUACAAAAUUUCAACAGCCAGAUUUUCUCGAUGCAUUCGUCAGCUUCUGUUUGUAACCUUUCUUCUGUCAAAUCCUCCAUGGCUUUUCACGAGCAAUAAUUCUUGCAAGGUCCCAUUAACAAGCCUCACGUACGUUGUUCUUAUCUCCUUUUCCUUAGCUCACCAAGAAUUCAACUAUUACCAAGUGCAGCAACUAGUUUCUGUGAUCGAUCUACGGAAAGUUAAAGUUAUUGCUCAAAAGAGAAAGAGAAAACGGAAGUUAAAGUUCCAUGCUGCCCUAGUUCAAGUACGCACUCAGUUAUGAUCUUGUGGUUCUUACAAUGGAUGAAUGGAUGAAGCAUUACCACACAAAUACUCAGAAGAGAAAAACAAAACAACCACAGUGCACGAUUAACAUGCUAGCUAGCUUUCAUUGUGUGCAAAUAUCCUGAGCUACCAUUCCACCAAAACAAGCUAAAUAAGUUUAUCCUUGUAUGGAUAUUAUGUGAAUCGAAAUAAUUGUAUAUUUGAUUCUUAGAUAUUAUGUGGCACCUAUUACAACGAAGCAUGUGCCAUAUUCUGAAGAUAAUGUCGACACAUCUGAAUCAUCUAGAGCCCGUACCGACACCUUUCUCCUAUAAAAUCAACUCCUACUAGCUUAAACUCUUCAACAGUUCGCCACAUCAAGAACAACUUUCUUUUUGUUUAUACAAGCUAGUAGUCUCACCAAGAAUUCGAAGAUGCAUCACGGUGAUCAUCACGGCGGACCACCACACCACGGAGGAGGUCCGGGAGGAGGUCCGGGAGGUCCAGGAGGCGGCCCUCAACAUGGUCAUGGUCAUCAAGGAGCUCCGGGAGGAGGGCAUGGAGGACCAGGAGGAGGAGGGCAUGGAGGGCAAGGAGGAGGAGGACACGGAGGACCAGGAGGAGGAGGACAUGGAGGAGGAGGAGGAGGAGGACGAGGGGGGAGGAGGAGGACAUGGAGGAGGAGGAGGAGGAGGACGAGGGAGGAGGAGGAGGAGGACAUGGAGGAGGAGGAGGACGACGGAGGGCAUGGUGGUCACUGAUCAUGGCGCUAGACUACGUAUACUACUUGUGGUGUACUAGCUGGCUGAAUAAGUCUCUCUAUGUGACUUCUGUAGUAUUGUUUGUGUGUUAUCAUUUCCUAGUUGGGUCGAUCAGAUCCUAGAUAGUGAAGCUAGCUAGGGGAGUCGAUCUUGUGUUUGGAGUCUGUUAAUUAAUGUAUGUGUAUGGAUGUGUAAUAAAACCAUACUAGCUAUGUAUUUGAUUCGAGGCUUAACAUAUAUUGCAUGCAGCUAUAUAUAUAUAUAUAUAUAUAAUAUCCUUAGAUGACUAAGAACAUAAGAAACAGAGCAGUACUAUUGAUGAUUUACAAGAUUCAAUUUGUAUAAGUGAUCUUUGGCUUGUCCUAAUUAACCAUCAAGCAAAGCGCUAAGAACGAACAUAUUAUAUAUACUGCCAGAUGAUCAAGCAACUUUGCAGAGGGAUCAUGACGAAAUGUCCAUCUAGCAGCUUAAAUGCUUAAUUAGAACAAUUUUGCAAAACAAACACAAACUUGUAUAAUACGGUACCGAAAAUAUAAGUAUAACCGUUUGAAAUGUCAAGUUUAUCAAUCUUAUGAAAUCGAAGUAUCGUAAAUCGAUAAUGAUCUUCUUCAAAACUAGAACGAGAAUGUAACGUGUCUAUAUGACACUAUAAAUGUCUACGAAAUCAUGCGUUAAGAACAUAAUAUUAUAUUCCUUCGUUUUUUACUAAAGAAUAUCAUUACCGUUAAGCUUUAAUUGACAUACGUACGAUUGUACUUUGUAGUGAUACAUCUAAUUAUAUUGGUCGUGUGGUGCCCUUAGUAUAUUAAAAGGAAAAAACUAAAGAGACCAAAAGGCCCAAAGGAAACCACAGAAAUUGUCAUAAAGGUACAAGUGCAGCCCAACUUUCNNNNNNNNNNNNNNNNNNNNNNNNNNNNNNNNNNNNNNNNNNNNNNNNNNNNNNNNNNNNNNNNNNNNNNNNNNNNNNNNNNNNNNNNNNNNNNNNNNNNNNNNNNNNNNNNNNNNNNNNNNNNNNNNNNNNNNNNNNNNNNNNNNNNNNNNNNNNNNNNNNNNNGUCCUGAUCAUCACCUUCCUUGCCUAUGCUUCCUUCCACGCCUCCAGGAAGCCCCCCAGCAUCGUCAAGAGUGUUCUUGGCCCCAAACUCCUGUCCAAUUCGAGCUCUUUCGACACCGGUUGGGCUCCCUUUAAUGGCCCUGAUGGCACUCACAGGCUUGGAGAACUUGAUCUUGCAUUUCUAUCUGCAUAUUCUAUUGGAAUGUAUUUUGCAGGGCAUGUUGGUGAUAGGAUUGAUUUGAGGUUGUUUCUUGCUUAUGGGAUGUUAGGGAGUGGAGUUUUGACUUGUCUUUUCGGGUUAGGUUAUUGGUGCAAUGUGCAUAUGUUGUGGUACUUUGUGGGUGUGCAAGUUGUGUGUGGGUUGUUUCAGUCAAUAGGGUGGCCUUCUGUUGUGGCAGUUGUGGGGAAUUGGUUUAGGGUUUAGACAGCGGCCAUCACACGCCGGCCACGGUCACGCACCACCCCCAGGUCCGGGACACCACGAGCCUCCUCCGCCCCAUGGCCAUGCUCCUCCUCCGGGGCCUCAUGCACCUCCUUCGGGACCCCAUACACCUCCUCCGGAACCCCAUGCACCUCCUCCGGGACCCCAUGCACCUCCUCAUGAUCCACACAAGCCACAUGACCCGCACCACGGUCACCACCACCCAUGAACCGAACUAGUCAUGAGGGAUCACGAAGCUAGCUAGUCUCAGCAAGUUGUUAUCUAUUUCUGCCUGUAAUGUGAUCUAGCUGCGCUUGUAGUUCUGAGUUGCUGGGUUUACUGGCUUUGCUCCAUUGAUCUCAUCGUUAUGUAAUGACUAAAAUAUGAUGACUAUGUAUGUAUCCAAAAGAAGGCUGAUCAUAUAUGUAUAAUAAGAAGAGUACUGGCUUUCUGGUUUAUGUAUAAUCCGCUUGUGUAAAACUUCUUCUCUGUUAUCGGUCUAAAUGUGAUGUAUGAUCAGAAAAUAUGGUCAGUUUGUCCUCUUGACCAACCUUAACUUACAAACUAAUUAAGUCAAUCUCCCCAAUUUCAUCAAUCUUUAUUAGGAUUUCAUCACUCAUUCCUUCACAGAUAAUUAACCACACAUCCAAGCUGCAUUUGCUCGAUUGCUCUUAACAAACUGUAAUAAUUAACCAAGAGGCAAACGCAUCCAUCUAAAGUCUAAAAAUUAAGUUAUUAACACAAGGUUAAAUUAUCCAUUGUUCAGACCAAUCUCACAGUUAGAGCGAUGAAUUGGCUAAAACAAAAACCUACGGGAG
rnacentral:lncRNA from 1 species